GACGCUGUGGCCUAAUGGUUAGCGCGUUGGACUCCGGGUCGAGCGAUCCAGGUUCGAGCGCUGGCCGGGAUCACUGUGUUG